GAGAUGCAUAUCGGAUUCUUCUUUUCAUGAUUUUAUGACUAGAGUAGAUAUGGUCAUUGAUGAACUGGGAGGUGAUAUGACAAUCUAAUCGUCUCCAAAUCACACACAGGUUGUGGGUUUGUUGUGUAUGAAGUUCGAUCAAUAAUGGUAACUCCCUCUCCUUUUUGUUGCAUUGUAAAAAGAAAUGCAUUUGCUUGGUUUGCUGGUUGCAGGUGGUUUAGCUGAAAAUCAUAUCUACUUUGCAAACCAUGUCGAGAUUUUUGGAGGUAAGUAGGCACGGUCAUUGUGGAUAGGGCAUCCUGUAAUUGACAACCCGUGCACAUUACGAUACUAGCCAUGUAUAUAACAUGUUCCCCCAUUUUAACAAUGGAAAUGUGGAAUUUGUUGCUGUAAUUUUUUGUUUGAUUCAAAUCAAACUCCUUCCAUCUCAUGA